rnacentral:misc_RNA from 1 species
GUACCUUCAAGCUCUGCUUGGUGUUGGGUGUUUGUCUGCAAAGACUCGCCUUAAAGCAAUUGGCAGCCGGCAUAUUGUCUAGGAGCGCAGCACAUUUUGCGCUUGUUUUACAAGAUGUUGGCGUCCACAAGCCUUUUUUCAC